rnacentral:rRNA from 1 species
AGCGAACGCUGGCGGCAGGCCUAACACAUGCAAGUCGAACGCACCUUCGGGUGAGUGGCGGACGGGUGAGUAACACGUGGGAACGUACCUUUUGGUUCGGAAUAACGCAGGGAAACUUGUGCUAAUACCGAAUGUGCCCUUCGGGGAAAGAUUUAUCGCCAUCAGAGCGGCCCGCGUUAGAUUAGCUAGUUGGUGAGGUA